AAAGAAGGAAAUUAGUUGAUGGUCUUAAGCAGCUUGGUGUGGAUGCUGAUUGUUUUCUUGGAACAAACUGCCCUCCUGUCCGUGUGAUUGGAAAGGGAGGCCUUCCAGGGGGGAAGGUGAAGCUCUCUGGAUCAAUUAGUAGCCAGUACUUGACUGCUUUGCUUAUGGCAGCUCCUUUGCACUGAACUAAGAAAGCUGGGAGCAACUGUUGAAGAGGGACUAGAUUACUGCAUAAUCACACCGCCAGAAAAAUUAAACGUGACAGCAAUAGACACGUAUGAUGACCACCGAAUGGCCAUGGCUUUCUCUCUUGCUGCUUGUGGAGACGUUCCAGUUACUAUCAAGGAUCCCGGUUGUACCAGAAAAACAUUCCCCGAUUACUUUGAAGUCCUCAGGAAGUUUACCAAGCAUUGAACAGCGGUUAUAAGAUAUAUUUAUCUAUAGAUAGGGAGAGGGAGGGAUCGUCCUUGUGCCUCUACAUCCAAAGCAGUGCAGAUGGAAGCCACACUUGUUUCAGUUUCUCUUUAUUCCCCUGUAAUUUUGGAUGAUUUGUAUUUGCGAGUUGAGCUCGUUAUUAAGAAAUAGAAUAGCGGCAAGUUUGAUGAAUGCAUCUAAUUAGAUUACUUUUAAGUACAUUAACAAUAUUGUACUAAUGAAUUCUAACUAUUCAGUCUAAAAUAUUUCAAUUGAA